rnacentral:rRNA from 1 species
UUAUGGCUCAGGAUGAACGCUAGCUACAGGCUUAACACAUGCAAGUCGAGGGGCAGCAUUGGAGUAGCAAUACUCAGAUGGCGACCGGCGCACGGGUGAGUAACACGUAUCCAACCUGCCGCUUACUCGGGGAUAGCCUUUCGAAAGAAAGAUUAAUACCCGAUGGUAUAAAGAGUUCGCAUGUUCUCUUUAUUAAAGAACUUCGGUAAGCGAUGGGGAUGCGUUCCAUUAGAUAGUUGGCGGGGUAACGGCCCACCAAGUCUACGAUGGAUAGGGGUUCUGAGAGGAAGGUCCCCCACAUUGGAACUGAGACACGGUCCAAACUCCUACGGGAGGCAGCAGUGAGGAAUAUUGGUCAAUGGACGAGAGUCUGAACCAGCCAAAAGUAGCGUGAAGGAUGACUGCCCUAUGGGUUGUAAACUUCUUUUAUAAGGGAAUAAAGUGAGGGACGUGUCCCUUUUUGUAUGUACCUUAUGAAUAAGGAUCGGCUAACUCCGUGCCAGCCGCCGC